AUUAAGGUAAGAUUUCGAAUUACAUAACUCAUACAAUAUUAAGAUUACUUAUAUAAUAUUAAGAUAAAAUUUCUAAUUACAUAACUUACAUAAAUUACAUAAAUUACAUAACUUACAUAAAUUAAAUAACUUGCAUAACUUGCAUAACUUACAUAACACAUAACCUUCCUAGCUUACAUUAUUUAGAUAAUACAUAGCCUACAUAACUUACAUAACUUACAUAAAUUAAAUAACUUGCAUAACUUACAUAACUCACAUAAUACACAACUUACAUAACUUACAUAAUACAUAACCUUCCUAUCAUAUCAUAACUUACAUAACUCAUUUAUAGUAAUAUCUGGCGUUUUAACUUACCCGUGCAAAUUAUUGUCAACGUCAGACUUCAAUAAUUAAGAAAUGGACCGGUCUUGGAUGAAUUUGUCAAGGGUAAGCAACGGCUAUCGAA
rnacentral:lncRNA from 1 species